rnacentral:rRNA from 1 species
CACGCAGUAAACGAUGAUUACUAGUUGUUUGCGAUACACAGUAAGCGACCGAGCGAAAGCAUUAAGUAAUCCACCUGGGGAGUACGUUCGCAAGAAUGAAACUCAAAGGAAUUGACGGGGGCCCGCACAAGCGGAGGAACAUGUGGUUUAAUUCGAUGAUACGCGAGGAACCUUACCCGGGCUUGAAAUGCAGAUGACAGGGGCAGAGACGCCCCCUCCCCUCGGGGCAUCUGUGUAGGUGC